GGGCCAGGGGGCCUCGCUUAUAUAGUCCUCCCCUUCUAUGCGUUUUUGGGUCGAUAGCCGAGGUGGUACUAUGUUUUUCUUGAUCCAAUAGGUCGGUGGAAUAUCCCGAGCGAAGGAGUCCUGAAUUGGCUCCAGCAGGGGGGCGGGCGCCCAGGCUGCCAGGGCGGGCGCCCUGGGCCUGGCCCAGCUUCGCCUCCGCUUCGGUCUCGUGGCUUCUGGAGUCUUCUAGAUGAUGUAAAAUUGCGCGGUGCGUUAAUAUCUCUAUGUAAUCCCGACAUGUGGGCCUUUCUUCCUUAUUUCCUGAUAACCCCCUGCAGAAACAGAUAAACAACAAAACUCGUGGAAUUCUGUC
rnacentral:lncRNA from 1 species